rnacentral:sRNA from 1 species
AAGGCAGCUAUGCAAAUGGAAAAUUGCAGUGUUGUGUGAUAGCGACCUUGCUCUGGGUAAGUGCUGGGCUCUGGAUGAGCCAUGAAGCCAAAGGACUUCCAGAAGAAGAAACAAAUGAGGCCAAAGGCACAUGAGCUAGGAAGAGACUGGACUUGGAUCUCAGAUCCACCUGAGUUGAGGCAAAGCUAGCGUGGACGCCUUCCAUCCUGAUUUUCUGGCAGUUUCAACAUGACUGCCACCUCAUAAUCCAAGACAGCAGGUAAGACCAAGCCUGCGUCCCAGCCUGUGGAAGGGAAGACGCAUCAAGGGAGGCACCAGCUUUCUCUAAGUUACACACAGAUUGUUGCUUGUAGCUUUUGACUAGAAAUUAGGCACUUAGUGAGAGUCAGCAGCAAGUGAGUCUGAGAAGUAAUGAGAAUUCAUGGAGCCAACUAUUCAUGGAGGCUGUUUCUAAGGAAGGAAGAUAAGGCACCCGAAGAGCCAUGGUCUCUGUCAUCGGAAUCCCUCUAAGAACCGAGGUGAGGUAAAUUCCUCUCAGAGCUGGACAUAUAAUUAAUCAUCCCAGUUAGGAUGCCUGGUGAGACCAAAAGUACCAAAACGGCUGAGCAGGUAUGAGCUGACUUGGAGUGGUUCCAGGACCUCCCUGUGAAUGGUGGAGUAUAAAGUCACCUCAAUAUAGAGGUCUCCUCUGUGAGUGGGUCGGUGAAGGUUGUUCCUACUGUAAACCCAGGGAAGAUGGCUUAGCCUUCCUCCUGGGGUACAUGUAUGCUCACCCUACACCCAACCCCAGCACAGAGCUGAAUGCUCUUUUUCAGAAGUACCAGUAUCUUCGCCUUAGGCACAUGUCUUCAAAGGCCAGCGGCACUGUCUACUGACUGCUUUGUACAUGGUAACUGUUUAACUUAUCCCCGAGUCUUUCUGCAGCCUUCGGAGUCCUGCAAGGAAGGAAGUAUGACCAUGUGCAACUGUGGUGAGCCCAUGGAGGCUUAGGGAGAUCAGGAGAUCUGCCCAAAGUCACUCCACAAAUAUCAGGAUCUGGUGCCCGCUGAGCUCUGCUUUGGUCACAGUUCUCUCAGACUCUGUCCCCAGUUUGGGGGGACACUCACUGCUAGCCUGUCUUCCCCAGGGUAUGAGCUAGGCUGCCUCAUCACUUGGGAAACCAUCUUGCACUUUCCAGGGGAUGCUCCUCUGAGUUAAAUCAAAUCUCCUCGGGGCUCCACACCCUCCCCUCUCCCCUGUACCAUUCUUCACGAGCCAUCAGGGUUUCUAUUCCUGUGCAGCCUCCUAGAUUUAUCCUUAGGUUCAUCGUGGACCUCAACCAACUGGACCAUCUCUGUGGCCUUCCCCAGGGGAGAAAUCAAGCAUGAGACAUGAACAAGGACCAAGAAUACAGGAGCAGAGAGGAAACUAAUUGAGGGUUGAUUCUGAUGAAUAAAUGCCUGGUCGCCGCCUUGAGAAAUGGACCACGCCGGCAGAUGGCUGGGGCUUGAGAAACGGUCACGGCCUUCCGAGGGGCCCAUCAAUAAUAGAUCGGCUCCAGCCCUGGGAGAGGGAAGCGUUUCUGCGGCAGGACGAUUUGUGUCAUUUUCUUCUAUGUGGUGACGGCGAUACAUAAUAUACCUCCUUCCUCAUGACAACGUCGUCUUCAUAAGACGGGUGAUGUGGGAUUCCUCCACCUCGAGGCCUGUGAUGUCAUGUUGGUAGCUUGCCAUUGGCCAUGGCAGCAACAUUUACACCAAAGGUAUUGGCAAAUGCUGCUAGGCAGCACUCCCCUCCCCCAAGCUGGUUGCUUAACUUUCAAGAGCACACA